rnacentral:lncRNA from 1 species
AGUUUACAAAAUUAUUUUUUAAUUUUUAUUAUUUUUAUAUUUUACAGAGAUGGGGCUCUUGCUGUAUUGCUCAGGCUGGUCUUGAACUUCUGGACUCAAGCAAUCCCCCACCCCAGCCUCCCCAGGUGCUGGGAUUAAAGACGGAGUUUUACUCUUGUUGCCCAGGCUGGAGUGCAAUGGCAGGAUCUCGGCUCACUGCACCUCCACCUCCUGAGUUCAGGCAAUUCUCCUGCCUCAGCCUCCUGAGUAGCUGGGAUUACAGGCACGCACCUCCAUGCCCAGCUAAUUUUUUGUAUUUUUAGUAGAGACGGCGUUUCACCAUGUUUACCAGGAUGGUCUCGAUAUCUUGACCUAGUGAUCCACCCGCCUCGGCCUCCCAAAGUGCUGGGAUUACAGGCUUGAGCCACCGCGCCUGGCCUAUUUCUAUGUUCUUAAGGAUGUUUCUUCCCUGCAUAAUGUUAACACGUAUAUUUAAAGAGUGGUAAUUAUAGUAAAGAUAACGUGUUCUUAUAACUAACCAAAUUUGUAUACGUUAUUUGUGAAAUGGGUUGAAAAAGUAGUGAUGCAUAACCAGAUUAAGGGUAGGUUUGAUCCAUCUCCAUCAGAUAUCAAUUUAAAAACUCUGGGCCAUUUACUUAGGCUAUGUAGAUUUGUACACUACUUCUGAGCAAAUAAAACUGGAAUUCGGAUAUGGUAAGAUAUGUUUUGAUUCAGUUUCAUUUGUAAGCCAAUUCGUGAAUCAUGUCACUUAUAAUCUCAAAAUAGUAAAUUCUGUCAUUCCCCAGUGUUCAUUCUCACACUAUAAGACACAUGUAUAUUUAAAGAGUGGUCAUUAUAGUAAAGAUAACGUGUUCUUAUAACAUUAUUUUAGUGUGCUAUUCUUUAUUAAUGCUAUUCUCUGCCAUUGUUAUAUAUAGCAUUUAUAUGUCCAUAGUUCCC